ACCAGCAGAUUCUCACUGUUUAUUCACUGUUUGUGUUGAUGCAGUGUUUGGCCAGCCACUUGUGUGUAUGUAGGGGACUCAGACCAGCAGAUUCCCACUGUUUAUCCAUUGUUUGUGUUGAUGCAGUGUUUGGCCAGCCACUUGUGUGUAUGUAGGGGACUGAGACAAGUUUAUUUAAUGUUCAGUGACCCAUUUGCAGGCACAGGGGUGUUGAGGAGCUGGGUGUGCAGGAGACAGACAAUUACAAAGGUUUACAGUUCAAAUGCUACAUGUAUCUUCAAAAUACAGAUAAUAAGUAGAUAAAUAUUGAAAUUAAUAUAAAAUACCAUUCUUUAUUUAACACUUAACCAAACUUAACCAACAUACACACACACGCUAACUCAGACAGUUCCCUAACUACCUUACCAUCCCGCAGGAGGCCAUGUCGGAGGUGCCGGUGGUGGGGUCGCCAGUUCCGGAGUACGAGGUGGAGGAGGAAAAGGAAGAGGAGGACGAGGAGGAGGCACGGAUAAGGAAGAAGAAAAGAUUAUUACCUGUAGCCCUCCCUCCAGCUGAUAAGGGGAUAUUAAGGAGCCCUUCCUACAGGUUCGUUCGAUGCAAGGAGUUGGCACAGGAGGCGUCCGAGGCUGUGUAGAGCGGCCGUCUGAACCUGGUGCCACAGCUUACUAUGUUCAACAGAUGCCUGAAGGAAGUGUGUGUAAGGGAGGAUAAAGAGAUCAUGCUGGCCUAUGCAGACGAUGUCGCUGUCGUGACAGGAAGCCAACAAGAUCUUCAAGAGGCCAUGACAAGAUGGAAUGAUGUUUUAAAUAGGGAAGGAAUGAGAAUGAACAAACAAAAAACUUAUUUACUAGUGGACAAGCAACAAGUGAUGGUGUGGCUCUGAGCCACUGUAGUAGGGAUGUUAUGGUUUAAGUGUAGGAAGUUGCAAAUGCUCACCUAACAAUUGCACCUUAGUAGAAAAACACAAACAGGAAGUUUAUGCAAGUUUUUAUCCUUAUAUAAAAUGUUGUAUUGCAUCAAACCUCCAUACAUUACUGUCUCUAUCCAGUAUGAGACCGGUGUUCAGGAAGCACAAGCAUGUGCUGAAUAACAAGAAGCCGGCAUUGGUGAAGGUGACAACAUUUCAUCUAUUUAUACAUACUUUUUAUUAUUAAAGCUUAUCUUAUAAUUAUUUCUGAAGAGAUUGACUAAUUUUUGUAGUAUUUAUGACUUAGAACUAUGAUAAAGCUAUGAAUUGAUAUAAUUCCUGAUUUG